rnacentral:guide_RNA from 1 species
AAUUAAUAAAGUAUGAAUUUGAUCUAAAUGAUAACUGAUAAU